UACGUAGGGUGCAGGCGUUAAUCGGAAUUACUGGGCGUAAAGCGUGCGCAGGCGGCUAUGCAAGACAGAUGUGAAAUCCCCGGGCUCAACCUGGGAACUGCAUUUGUGACUGCAUGGCUAGAGUACGGCAGAGGGGGAUGGAAUUCCGCGUGUAGCAGUGAAAUGCGUAGAUAUGCGGAGGAACACCGAUGGCGAAGGCAAUCCCCUGGGCCUGUACUGACGCUCAUGCACGAAAGCGUGGGGAGCAAACAGG
rnacentral:rRNA from 1 species